UUUGCAAUGAAGGUUAUGGACAAAGCAUCUUUAGCAAGCCGUAAGAAACUUCUUCGAGCUCAAACAGAGAGAGAAAUACUGCAGUGUUUGGACCAUCCCUUUCUUCCAACUUUAUAUACCCAUUUUGAGACUGACAAAUUCUCGUGUUUGGUUAUGGAGUUUUGCCCCGGUGGUGACUUGCACACUCUUCGACAAAGGCAGCCAGGAAAGCAUUUUUCUGAG
rnacentral:misc_RNA from 1 species